rnacentral:rRNA from 1 species
GAUUGAACGCUAGCGGCAUGCCUUACACAUGCAAGUCGAACGGCAGCACGGGGGCAACCCUGGUGGCGAGUGGCGAACGGGUGAGUAAUGCAUCGGAACGUGCCCAUCGAUGGGGGAUAACUGCGCGAAAGCGUUGCUAAUACCGCAUACGACCUACGGGUGAAAGCAGGGGACCGCAAGGCCUUGCGUCGAUGGAGCGGCCGAUGCCGGAUUAGCUAGUUGGUGAGGUAAAGGCUCACCAAGGCAACGAUCCGUAGCUGGUCUGAGAGGACGACCAGCCACACUGGGACUGAGACACGGCCCAGACUCCUACGGGAGGCAGCAGUGGGGAAUCUUGGACAAUGGGCGAAAGCCUGAUCCAGCAAUGCCGCGUGUGGGAAGAAGGCCUUCGGGUUGUAAACCACUUUUGGCGGGAAAGAAAUGGUCUGUGCUAAUACCACGGAUUGAUGACGGUACCCGCAGAAUAAGCACCGGCUAACUAC